rfam:Staphylococcus cohnii subsp. cohnii strain 073AN genome assembly, contig: ERS576551SCcontig000001
GUAACAAGGGGGUAGCGAAAAGAUGACAAAGGGGUAGGCUAUUACAUAUAGUUUUGUUAACAUCUUUUUCGUACGAGUUACUAAGCAAACAUCUUCAAUAUUUAUUACUUACUUUCCUUUCUAUAAGAGGCUGGGGCAAUUAAAUUGUCUCAGCCUCUUAUCA